rnacentral:rRNA from 1 species
GGGUUGUGAGGUUAAGCGACUAAGCGUACACGGUGGAUGCCCUGGCAGUCAGAGGCGAUGAAGGACGUGCUAAUCUGCGAUAAGCGUCGGUAAGGUGAUAUGAACCGUUAUAACCGGCGAUUUCCGAAUGGGGAAACCCAGUGUGAUUCGUCACACUAUCAUUAACUGAAUCCAUAGGUUAAUGAGGCGAACCGGGGGAACUGAAACAUCUAAGUACCCCGAGGAAAAGAAAUCAACCGAGAUUCCCCCAGUAGCGGCGAGCGAACGGGGAGGAGCCCAGAGCCUGAAUCAGUGUGUGUGUUAGUGGAAGCGUCUGGAAAGGCGCGCGAUACAGGGUGACAGCCCCGUACACAAAAAUGCACAUGCUGUGAGCUCGAUGAGUAGGGCGGGACACGUGGUAUCCUGUCUGAAUAUGGGGGGACCAUCCUCCAAGGCUAAAUACUCCUGACUGACCGAUAGUGAACCAGUACCGUGAGGGAAAGGCGAAAAGAACCCCGGCGAGGGGAGUGAAAAAGAACCUGAAACCGUGUACGUACAAGCAGUGGGAGCCUCUUUAUGGGGUGACUGCGUACCUUUUGUAUAAUGGGUCAGCGACUUAUAUUCUGUAGCAAGGUUAACCGAAUAGGGGAGCCGAAGGGAAACCGAGUCUUAACUGGGCGUUAAGUUGCAGGGUAUAGACCCGAAACCCGGUGAUCUAGCCAUGGGCAGGUUGAAGGUUGGGUAACACUAACUGGAGGACCGAACCGACUAAUGUUGAAAAAUUAGCGGAUGACUUGUGGCUGGGGGUGAAAGGCCAAUCAAACCGGGAGAUAGCUGGUUCUCCCCGAAAGCUAUUUAGGUAGCGCCUCGUGAAUUCAUCUCCGGGGGUAGAGCACUGUUUCGGCAAGGGGGUCAUCCCGACUUACCAACCCGAUGCAAACUGCGAAUACCGGAGAAUGUUAUCACGGGAGACACACGGCGGGUGCUAACGUCCGUCGUGAAGAGGGAAACAACCCAGACCGCCAGCUAAGGUCCCAAAGUCAUGGUUAAGUGGGAAACGAUGUGGGAAGGCCCAGACAGCCAGGAUGUUGGCUUAGAAGCAGCCAUCAUUUAAAGAAAGCGUAAUAGCUCACUGGUCGAGUCGGCCUGCGCGGAAGAUGUAACGGGGCUAAACCAUGCACCGAAGCUGCGGCAGCGACGCUUAUGCGUUGUUGGGUAGGGGAGCGUUCUGUAAGCCUGCGAAGGUGUACUGUGAGGUAUGCUGGAGGUAUCAGAAGUGCGAAUGCUGACAUAAGUAACGAUAAAGCGGGUGAAAAGCCCGCUCGCCGGAAGACCAAGGGUUCCUGUCCAACGUUAAUCGGGGCAGGGUGAGUCGACCCCUAAGGCGAGGCCGAAAGGCGUAGUCGAUGGGAAACAGGUUAAUAUUCCUGUACUUGGUGUUACUGCGAAGGGGGGACGGAGAAGGCUAUGUUGGCCGGGCGACGGUUGUC